rnacentral:tRNA from 1 species
GCGACGGCGAACCUCGGGGCUACGAAUCUGGGGGGCAGGAGUUCGAAUCUCUUCGGGCGCGCCA